AUACUUACACGGCAGGAGAAAUACCCCAGUCAAGAGGAUGGUUUCCCCAGGAUGAAGCUCUACCACUGUAAUCUUCAGUUGGGUAGACCCCUGUGAUUUCCUCAAAUGUGGGAAAUUCAACUGCAUAAUUUAUGAUAGCGAGGGACCGCAUUUGUGCAGUCCUCUA